GCAGUUUGAUGAAUAGGUCCUCUUUAAUGUGAAUGAAUUAUGUGCCUUGAUAGAAACCAGGAAUUUGUCCAAGUUCGACACAACCUGGUACAACUGAAUCGAGAUAUCUCAAGGAUACAUAUGUUAC